CAGCUCAGCUGGUAUAGCAUGAGACCCUGAAUAUCAGGGUCAUGGGUUUGAGCCCCAUGUUGGGGU